UAAAUUUUAGUUUUAAAAAAAAAUUUAAUAAUUACAAUAUUAAGAUAUAUUUUAUUAUAAAUUUAA
rnacentral:tRNA from 1 species